rnacentral:misc_RNA from 1 species
GAUGAAGAACGUAGCGAAAUGCGAUAAGUAAUGUGAAUUGCAGAAUUCAGUGAAUCAUCGAAUCUUUGAACGCACAUUGCGCCCCCUGGUAUUCCGGGGGGCAUGCCUGUUCGAGCGUCAUUUCAACCCUCAAGCUCUGCUUGGUAUUGGGCGUCGCCGGGGAGUCUCCCCGGCGUGCCUCAAAGCCAUCGGCGGUGGUGCCUUUCUCUAAGCGUGAUAGAAUUUUUAUUCGCUUCUGAGUUGGGCUUCGCCUGCCGGACAAACCGGGCCCUCGCGGCCCACCUUCUCAGGUUGACCUCGGAUCAGGUAGGGAUACCCGCUGAACUUAAGCAUAUCAAUAAGCGGAGGA